CUUAACAGUUUGAGACUUCACAAUUUCAGCUUUUAUCAGACUUAACAGAAGUAAAAUCUGAUGCAUUGAUCAGUGAUGAAUGUUCCUC